rnacentral:rRNA from 1 species
UACGGAAGGUGCAAGCGUUGUUCGGAAUGACUGGGCGUAAAGCGCACGUAGGUGGGUCUGUAAGUCGGACGUGAAAGCCCUGGGCUUAACCCGGGAACUGCGUCCGAAACUGUGGAUCUUGAAUGCCCAAGAGGUUGGUAGAAUUCCUGGUGUAGGAGUGAAAUCCGUAGAUAUCAGGAGGAAUACCAGAGGCGAAGGCGGCCAACUGGUGGUGCAUUGACACUGAGGUGCGGAAAAGCGUGGGGAGCAAACAGGG